rnacentral:snRNA from 1 species
ACCCGUAAGGCGCAAGGA